rnacentral:rRNA from 1 species
UACGUAGGGUGCAAGCGUUUAAUCGGAAUUACUGGGCGUAAAGCGUGCGCAGGCGGUUUUGUAAGUUUGUCGUGAAAUCCCCGGGCUCAACCUGGGAAUGGCGAUGAAGACUGCAAGGCUAGAGUUUGGCAGAGGGGGGUAGAAUUCCACGUGUAGCAGUGAAAUGCGUAGAUAUGUGGAGGAACACCGAUGGCGAAGGCAGCCCCCUGGGUCAAAACUGACGCUCAUGCACGAAAGCGUGGGGAGCAAACAGG